rnacentral:rRNA from 1 species
CGAGCGAGGUAGCAAUACCUAGCGGCAGACGGGUGAGUAACAUGUGGGAAUCUGCCCUGGAGUGGGGAACAACAGUUGGAAACGACUGCUAAUACCGCAUACGCCCUACGGGGGAAAGGCUUCGGCCGCAUUUGGAUGAGCCCGCGUAAGAUUAGCUAGUUGGUGGGGUAAUGGCCUACCAAGCCGACGAUCCAUAGCUGGUUUGAGAGGAUGAUCAGCCACACUGGGACUGAGACACGGCCCAGACUCC